UAUACUUGGUUUCUGAAUUCAGUAAAAGUAUAGUAACAAUAAAGUAUAUUUGGUCGGGUAAAAUAGACUUUAUCCGAAAAAUCUAAUCGAACUCACCACUUCUGAGUUUGCCGUAUUGCUUGUGCCUAACAACAAGCAUACCUAUAUAUAAUUUACCUUACUCACAUAUCACCAUCACCAGUCAACAAAACAUGUUGGAUGUCUAUGUGGUUAGCAUGUCUGACUGUCAUAGUUAUAGUCGCAGGAUCGAUAAACCAUUGCAACAGUCAUUGUGUAUAGGUUCCAAACGUCAGUUCAAUUGGUAAUUUAAGUUAACAGAUCAUUUGUUUACAAUUCUUCGGAACAAAUAGGAAUUGUAUAAUUCAGUCUUUAGUAAUGGAUCUCACCAGGUACUUUAGGUAGAGUAUAAUUUCAUUUGGAAUUAUAUUGUUAAGAACAUGUGGAAAAAUGCUUCCCACCUUGACCAGUUCACUGUAUCGAUGUCAUUACAUUGUUUUGGAAUUUAAUUUGCCCUUAACGUAUAAGUCAGAUGGACUUCAAAUUUAAUCAAUUGAAUGGAUUGGUACGGAAGAUUUCAAGACAGGAUUGAAAGAAUUAAACAUUUAAGUGUGCAUGUCAAAUAUUUUGUAUUAUAGCUGUGAUUCAAUCAUUCAAUAAAUGACCAAAAAUUUA